rnacentral:lncRNA from 1 species
ACAGACGUGAGCUAGUUCUGGAGAAAGGAUGACGUUAUUUGGGAACAUGGCUCCCAUUCAUUCACUCAGCCAGUAGGGUGGUUUUCAUUGAGAGCCAGCUGGGUGCUAAGCCUCAUCCUGGGCUGUGGACUGAGGGUCCCUAAUUGGCCCAGGGCAGUCUCAUCUGACCUUGGACUCACUGUGUGAGCCUCCAGCUUGCCCCGUAGGCAUGCUGGGAGCCUGGAAUACCAAGCGAAGUUCAGAUACCAGCAUUUUCCAUCUGUCUCAUCUCAAGC